UCCAAGGCGACAGUCGGGUUCAUUUUGGGCUAAACUGGGAGGGGGAGAGGAAAGCACAGCCCAUGCUCAUCUGAGGAGGAGUCUCCCCACUUCUCCACUGUGGCUCCGCCCGGGUGGGAAGGAGAGAGCCUUUGGCACAGGGGUGUGCGUGUGAAGUCGGGUCUCAUCCAGGUGCCUGCGCUUCUUCCAAGCUUCUUUACAUAUGGAAUCCAGUGUGUUCUUGAAUGUAAUCUGCCCAGGCGAAAAUGUGGUCACCGGGUGACUCUCACCAUCUACCAGUGAACAACUGACAUGUCCAGAUCCUAAUGAAAACUCCCAAGCGCAGGAAAACGAGGACCACGUGUCCACGGCCUGUUGACGGGAGCGGGGGACGCGGGCGUCUGGGCUUGGCCGCCAGGCACAGCUGCGUGGGCAGCGGCGCCGCUAGCCCGGCCUGCCCCGUCCUGCGGCUUCUUUACACACGGUGGGUUCCAGUCUCUUCAAGUCAGGACUCUCCUCUUCCUGAGAGUCUGAUUCGAGUUCUGGGCCCUCACUUCUGAAACGUGCGGCGGACACUCACCUGCUGGAGCCCCGGGUCAAUCGGGUGCCGAGGUGGACCUCGAGCGUGCAGCCUUUGGGUGCUCGCCGGCUGGACUCGAACUCCGUGCUCUGACAUGAUGAAAUGGAGUGAGCUGCGAGGCGGCCUAUGAUCACAGCCAACCGUGAGAAUGCUGAUGUCUUCGUGCACUGCAUUCGCCACUUACAAACUCGGCCCUAGGGCCGGGGUUUAGUUCAGUGGUGCCGCCGCCUGCCCUGCAAGUGCAAGGACCGAGUUCGAUCUCCGUACCAAAAAGAAAAAAUAUCAUCACUGAGACUGCUGGGUGAUAUUGCGGCAGACAAUCCCUUUUGUGGGGACCACUCUGAAAUAUGGCCCUUCUGUUGCUUAAUCUAAAAUACCUUUUUUAUUCUUGUUUUGGUCGAGUGGUGUAUUUUGAAAAGUCCUGCAUGCCUAUUCUUUGCAGGGCAGGAAUUUUGGGUUGCAGGCUACAUAGAGGGCCCUUUGCAUUAUGUGACCUGAAACCACAUUUCUCCCCAAGUACUCUUUGGAACUUUCUCCUAAAAAUAACUCCAGAAAAAGGUCUUGUCAAAAGCCAUUAAAU
rnacentral:lncRNA from 1 species